CAGCAGCCGCGGUAAUACGAAGGGGGCUAGCGUUGCUCGGAAUCACUGGGCGUAAAGGGUGCAUAGGCGGGUCUUUAAGUCAGGGGUGAAAUCCUGGAGCUCAACUCCAGAACUGCCUUUGAUACUGAAGAUCUUGAGUUCGGGAGAGGUGAGUGGAACUGCGAGUGUAGAGGUGAAAUUCGUAGAUAUUCGCAAGAACACCAGUGGCGAAGGCGGCUCACUGGCCCGAUACUGACGCUGAGGCACGAAAGCGUGGGGAGCAAACAGGAUUAGAUACCCCAGUAGUCCCUGUCUCUUAUAC
rnacentral:rRNA from 1 species